rnacentral:rRNA from 1 species
AGCUGGUUGGUGAGGUAACGGCCCACCAAGGCGACGAUCGGUAGCCGGACUGAGAGGUUGAACGGCCACAUUGGGACUGAGACACGGCCCAGACUCCUACGGGAGGCAGCAGUGGGGAAUAUUGCACAAUGGGGGAAACCCUGAUGCAGCGACGCCGCGUGGAGGAAGAAGGUCUUCGGAUUGUAAACUCCUGUUGUUGAGGAAGAUAAUGACGGUACUCAACAAGGAAGUGACGGCUAACUACGUGCCAGCAGCCGCGGUAAAACGUAGGUCACAAGCGUUGUCCGGAAUUACUGGGUGUAAAGGGAGCGCAGGCGGGAAGACAAGUUGGAAGUGAAAUCCAUGGGCUCAACCCAUGAACUGCUUUCAAAACUGUUUUUCUUGAGUAGUGCAGAGGUAGGCGGAAUUCCCGGUGUAGCGGUGGAAUGCGUAGAUAUCGGGAGGAACACCAGUGGCGAAGGCGGCCUACUGGGCACCAACUGACGCUGAGGCUCGAAAGUGUGGGUAGCAAACAGGAUUAGAUACCCUGGUAGUCCACACUGUAAACGAUGAUUACUAGGUGUUGGAGGAUUGACCCCUUCAGUGCCGCAGUUAACACAAUAAGUAAUCCACCUGGGGAGUACGACCGCAAGGUUGAAACUCAAAGGAAUUGACGGGGGCCCGCACAAGCAGUGGAGUAUGUGGUUUAAUUCGACGCAACGCGAAGAACCUUACCAAGUCUUGACAUCCUGCGACGGUGCUGGAAACAGUACUUUCCUUCGGGACGCAGAGACAGGUGGUGCAUGGUUGUCGUCAGCUCGUGUCGUGAGAUGUUGGGUUAAGUCCCGCAACGAGCGCAACCCUUAUGGUCAGUUACUACGCAAGAGGACUCUGGCCAGACUGCCGUUGACAAAACGGAGGAAGGUGGGGAUGACGUCAAAUCAUCAUGCCCUUUAUGACUUGGGCUACACACGUACUACAAUGGCGUUAAACAAAGAGAAGCAAGACCGCGAGGUGGAGCAAAACUCAGAAACAACGUCCCAGUUCGGACUGCAGGCUGCAACUCGCCUGCACGAAGUCGGAAUUGCUAGUAAUCGCAGAUCAGCAUGCUGCGGUGAAUACGUUCCCGGGCCUUGUACACACCGCCCGUCACACCAUGAGAGCCGGGGGGACCCGAAGUCGGUAGUCUAACCGCAAGGAGGACGCCGCCGAAGGUAAAACUGGUGAUUGGGGUGAAGUCGAAACAAGGUAGCCGUAGGAGAACCUGCGGCUG